UGGCCCCUUGGUCAAGCGGUUAAGACACCGCCCUUUCACGGCGGUAUCACGGGUUCGAAUCCCGUAGGGGUCAU
rnacentral:tRNA from 3 species